rnacentral:rRNA from 1 species
UUGGCGAACGGGUGAGUAACGCGUGAAUAACCUGACUCAAAGAGGGGGAUAACAGCGGGAAACUGUUGCUAAUACCGCAUGAGACCACAACACCGCAUGAUGAAGGGGUCAAAGAUUUAUCGCUUUGAGAGGGGUUCGCGUCCCAUUAGGUAGUUGGAGGGGUAACGGCCCACCAAGCCAACGAUGGGUAGCCGAGCUGAGAGGCUGAUCGGCCACACUGGAACUGAGACACGGUCCAA